UUGAGCCAUGGAUUACACAUACAAUGUUCGUCAGUUUAAAAUAUAUUUUCCAAGUCAAGAAAGUCUCAGUUUGUCGUAAAACUGUUUAAGUAUAACACUCAGGGUUUGUACACCUUUUCCAAGGUCAAAUUCAAGCACUUUUCAAGCACUUUCAAGGUCCAUUUUAAAGCUUUUUCCAGCACCUUACACCACCGUAAAUUACAUACCAAUACAUAUUCAAAG